UUUGCCCCUGAGCUUGACAGCAGACAAUACAUAGGUUGUGCUGGAGAAGGCAGCUACAUCCACAGGUGCAGGAUUUCCUAGCACCUUUUUCUCCUUUGCCUGACACCUUUUGCAGAGCUGCCAGAUGAAGUUUUCAUACCAGAAGGUCCCUGUGUACAUCUCUCUUUGGGCAAUACAGAGACUGCACCAGUGCUGCCUUUGAGGUUUUGGCUCUCAGGGCUCUUGACGAAACCAGUAAACCACUCUGUGCUCCGUGAGGGGCUACAUCACAGGACUUGGCCCUGCCCCAACAGACCCUGGGGACCUCCAGCCACCAGGGAACCACUGCACCCUGUGACACCCUGCACAAUGGACCAUGGAGAACACUGAAGGGCUUACACAAAGACAAGGACUUUUCUUCUCCUCAUCCCAACCAAUCAGUGAGUGGCCUGGAGGUACCCAAGGAGUUUGAGGGGAACACCUCUGGGACAGCUGACCUCUACUGACCAUAGAAUUUCAGGAUUGAUAAUGAAGAUUCACCCUUCCUAGUGGAAGAGAAAUGUGGACACCUCAUGGAAACUCCAUGCUGAUUGUGUGGGAGCAUUGAGGGGAAGGAGCAGCACAUUUAAAUGGGAGAAUUACUGUAGAAACCUGGCAGGCCCCCCUUGACACCAAUGAAGAAGUCAACAAGAAGAAAAGUCAGACUCUUCGCAGAGGUGGGAGGAUGACAGACUAUGGAUAUGAGUGGAAAUAAAAACAGUUGAGCCUGAAUAUAACAGAAAACUUUUUCAAAGUGAGGAGAGUGGAAAAGAUUGCCUUUGAAGGUUGUAACUGCAGUUUCUGCUGUCUCCACAUUUGGUUUUGGCCAGUCAGGUCUUGAAAACCUUUUAGAGAAACCUGGUCUGAUCCCCUGUGCAGAAAGUUAGACUAAAGGUCUCUUGAGGUCCCUUUCAAUUUAAAUUUUCCUGUAGUUGUUUCUGUGAUUCUCAAAGGUGCUGACUUGUUAUCUGAGAUGCUAACAAUCAUUUUCAGCAAGGGACUGGACUAAAUACUUUAAAUAUAAUUCUAUUUCAUGUUAAGCCAUUAUUUAAAAUACUGACUAGCACUAGAUUCACAGCAGAUCACUCCAAAUCCCAUCUUGAGACUGAAAAUUCUGACUUAAGACGUGAGUGUUGUUUUAAAAUCAGGUAUUCAUGCACUGACAUUUCCAUUGAAUUGUAUUUAUGAGAUGUGAGACUAUCAUGCAGGUAUGUGGAAAAGCUUAGGUAGAUAACAUAAAUGUCAUA